CUCUAUGUUCAUCUAAAGUAUCUUGAACUUUGUUUAUCUAUUCUCCCAGGUUUUUGCACUCUUUCCGUGUUCACCUGAUUCCUGAGAGAAGGCAUUCCAGACACAAGCCAUCUUCGGAUUGAAGCCAGUGUCCGGACAUCUGAAAUAUAAAACUGUUGUCCGAACCUCCAUAACUGACAACCCUAGAGCCAAAGGGAAUAAAUGUAAUGGGGGACAGGAGAAUUAAUGACUCUAGGACUCCAUGAGCAAGCCAUAUGGAACCAAGAGGUUGGCCCUUCCAGAGUCCUGUCACUGACCCUCUCUAUAAAUCACAGAAAAGAGGGAAAGGAGAGAGAGAAAGAGAGAAGAAACAGAAGUGUGGCAGUGGAACUGACCUGCCCCUUGAAUUUUCAAAUCCUGCUCUGA
rnacentral:lncRNA from 1 species